GCUCAGGACGAACGCUGGCGGCGUGCUUAACACAUGCAAGUCGAACGAUGACGGUGGUGCUUGCACCGCCUGAUUAGUGGCGAACGGGUGAGUAACACGUGAGUAACCUGCCCUCCACUUCGGGAUAACCUCGGGAAAUCGUGGCUAAUACCGGAUAUGAGCACUCAUCGCAUGGUGGGUGUUGGAAAGAUUUAUCGGUGGGGGAUGGACUCGCGGCCUAUCAGUUUGUUGGUGAGGUGAUGGCUCACCAAGACGAUGACGGGUAGCCGGCCUGAGAGGGCGACCGGCCACACUGGGACUGAGACACGGCCCAGACUCCUACGGGAGGCAGCAGUGGGGAAUAUUGCACAAUGGGCGAAAGCCUGAUGCAGCGACGCCGCGUGGGGGAUGACGGCCUUCGGGUUGUAAACCCCUUUCAGUAGGGAAGAAGCGAGAGUGACGGUACCUGCAGAAGAAGCGCCGGCUAACUACGUGCCAGCAGCCGCGGUAAUACGUAGGGCGCAAGCGUUGUCCGGAAUUAUUGGGCGUAAAGAGCUUGUAGGUGGCUUGUCGCGUCUGCCGUGAAAACCCGAGGCUCAACCUCGGGCGUGCGGUGGGUACGGGCAGGCUAGAGUGUGGUAGGGGAGACUGGAACUCCUGGUGUAGCGGUGAAAUGCGCAGAUAUCAGGAAGAACACCGAUGGCGAAGGCAGGUCUCUGGGCCAUUACUGACACUGAGAAGCGAAAGCAUGGGUAGCGAACAGGAUUAGAUACCCUGGUAGUCCAUGCCGUAAACGUUGGGCACUAGGUGUGGGGGACAUUCCACGUUUUCCGCGCCGUAGCUAACGCAUAA
rnacentral:rRNA from 1 species